rnacentral:rRNA from 1 species
AGCAGCCGCGGUAAUUCCAGCUCCAAUAGCGUAUAUUAAAGUUGUUGCAGUUAAAAAGCUCGUAGUUGAAUUUCGGGAUCAGUAGGUUGGUCGUGCCACUGGUAUGUACUGGUCUUACUGAUUCCUCCUUCUUGUGGAACUGUAAUGUCAUUAAUUUGGUGUUGCAGGAAAACAGGACUGUUACUUUGAAAAAAUUAGAGUGUUUAAAGCAGGCUAACGCUUGAAUACAUUAGCAUGGAAUAAUGAAAUAGGACGUUUGAUCCUAUUUUGUUGGUUUCUAGGAUUGACGUAAUGAUUAAUAGGGAUAGUUGGGGGCAUUAGUAUUCAAUUGUCAGAGGUGAAAUUCUUGGAUUUAUUGAAGACUAACUACUGCGAAAGCAUUUGCCAAGGAUGUUUUCAUUAAUCAAGAACGAAAGUUAGGGGAUCGAAGACGAUCAGAUACCGUCGUAGUCUUAACCAUAAACUAUGCCGACUAGGGAUCGGAUGAUGUUAAUUUUUAAUGACUC